AAAGUAGAAAGAGCAGAAGGGAAACAUCAUGGGAAGAAAGACUAUUUUGUUUCUGAUUGCAGGGGUCCUUGGGGCAUAUUAUGUUUAUACUCCUCUCUCAGAUAAUAUUGAGGAACUCUGGUGACUGGUGUGGAUAGCUACACCUGUGAAAAUGGUAACAAAUUUGGCUUUGUUAGUUGAACUCUUGGGAAUCAAUCAUUUCAUGAAUACUGCAACGUUCUUUGUGAGCUUUCAAGAAGUCCCACCUACAUCUGAUGAAAAUGUCACCAUGAUAGAGACAACUUUCAGUAACAUUCCUGUCCGUGUAUACAUGCCAACACUAAAGUCAGAGAUACUAAGAACGGGCUUAGUUUAUAUUCAUGGUGGUGGUUGGUGUAUGGGGGAUGCUGGUAUGUGUUCCAUAUUAAAAGUUUUAGUUUAUCAUAUAACAUACAUUUUACUGAAAUGUUGACUCCAUCAUAUCAAGACAAACAUGUUAGAUAACAAAACACUUCAGCUGUCCAAAAUUUAUUUCUUUGGAGCUAUGUAGAUUUAAAAGAACUAUUUUAAAUCUCAUUCUGAAAGAGGGCAUAAUAAAUACCAAAAGCUGUAGCAAAUCUCAGGUAAGAAGAGAAUGUGUUUCACGCACUUAGACAUUUAUUAUUAAUUGCAGAUUUGAUAGAAAGUCUCAUAGAAGACCCAGAUGUCAAGAUCAAACUCAAGCUUCAGUCUUUAAUAUAUCCUGCCCUUCAGACGCUUGACAUGGAUUUACUAUCACAUCAGAAAAAACUAGACUCUCUAGUUCUGUCCAAACCAUUCAUGGUCAGGUUCUGUAGGGAAUACUUUACCACAGACAGAUCACUUGAAAAAGUCAUGUUCUUCAACAUGUACCAAUGGAAUCAAACCAUCUGUUCAGAUUUGUUAAUUGGAGUUCCUUGCUCACUGAGAAGUUUAAGAAAGGCCACUUUUGUUAUAUUCCAACUCGUGGUAGUUCUGAGCUAGCUAAAAAAUAUCCAGGGUUCCUAGAUGUGAGGGCAGCCCCUUUGUUGGCCAAUGACAAGUUACAUGGUUUACCCCUGUCCUAUAUCAUCACCUGUCAAUAUGACAUCUUAAGAGAUGAUGGACUCAUGUACAUCACGCGACUUUAGAACUCUGGAGUUCAAGUGACACAUAACCACAGUGAAGAUGGAUUCCAUGGAGCACUUUCCUAUAAUGGGCUUAAAAUUGAGUAUGGAAUAGAAAAUCAGUAUAUGAGUUGGCUAAGUGAAAAUCUAUAGUAAAAAUGUAAGCAAUGGUUUAUUUAAAAUGUAUAAGGCUCAGAACAGGAAACAAAUUAGUGAAAAUCAAAGGGUUGAUGUUUGAAUUGGUCUUUAUCAUCUGUGACCUUUCUAAGGUCCUCAUAGCCAUAGUGGGUUUUGGUUUUGUUUUUAUUUAUUGGCCGCUAGCAAAUUCUUCUCCAUUUUAUUUAUUAUCCUGUUAUUCACUCACUUCUGUGAAGAUACUUUAGUAUUUUCUUCUGCUACCAUUACUCACUUGUUAAAUCUCUAGUUUACAGCUAUAGUUUUUUGAUUGCCGAAUAGUAUUACAGAUGAGAAGAAAGUUUUAAACAAACACGUCUGAUUUGUAAAAUGCCAGUUUUAGUCAACAUGAAUUUAGAGACUUAAAAUGUUUCCCUGUGAGAACUGAUAUGAAAUAUGUGCCAUCUCUUUUAAAAAGCAUUUGCCUCAAUAU
rnacentral:lncRNA from 1 species